rnacentral:rRNA from 1 species
UGAAUACGAGACGCUAAGGCGUCGAAGUAGUGUAUAUCAGACUUCCAAGAAAAGCUUGCACUGUCAUAGAUAAAAAAUGCCUGUACCAUAACCGACACAGGUGGGUAGGUAGAGUAUACUAAGGGGCGCGAGAUAACUCUCUCUAAGGAACUCGGCAAAAUAACUCCGUAACUUCGGGAGAAGGAGUGCCUUAUUUAUAAGGUUGCAAUAACAAGAUCCAAGCAACUGUUUAUCAAAAACACAGGUCUCCGCUAAGUCGUAAGACGAUGUAUGGGGGCUGACGCCUGCCCAGUGCCAGAAGGUUAAAGAAGUUGGUUAGCAAUUGCGAAGCUGAUAACUGAAGCCCUGGUGAACGGCGGCCGUAACUAUAACGGUCCUAAGGUAGCGAAAUUCCUUGUCGGGUAAGUUCCGACCCGCACGAAAGGCGUAAUGAUUUGGAUACUGUCUCGGAGAGGGGCUCGGUGAAAUAGACUUGUCUGUGAAGAUGCGGACUACCUGCACCAGGACAGAAAGACCCUAUGAAGCUUUACAGUAACUUGAAAUUGAAAUUGGACUUUAUUCGCGCAGCGUAGGUGGGAGGCGUUGAUUAUAAUCUUGCGGGAUUAUUGGAGCCAUCAGUGAGAUACCACUCUUGUAAUGUUAGAUUUCUAACUUUGAAUCAUUAUCUGGUCAAAGAACAGUUUCAGGCGGGCAGUUUGACUGGGGCGGUCGCCUCCUAAAUGGUAACGGAGGCGUACAAAGGUUUCCUCUGAACGGUUAGAAAUCGUAUCUAGAGUGUAAAGGCAUAAGGAAGCUUGACUGUGAGACCUACAAGUCGAGCAGGGACGAAAGUCGGUCUUAGUGAUCUGACGGUACUGAGUGGAAAGGCCGUCACUCAACGGAUAAAAGUUACUCUAAGGAUAACAGGCUGAUCUCCCCCAAGAGUUCACAUCGACGGGGAGGUUUGGCACCUCGAUGUCGGCUCAUCGCAUCCUGGGGCGGUAGUACGUCCCAAGGGUUGGGCUGUUCGCCCAUGAAAGCGGUACGCGAGCUGGGUUCAGAACGUCGUGAGACAGUUCGGUCCAUAUCCGGUGUAGGCGUUAGAAUAUUGAGAGGAGCCUUCUUUAGUACGAGAGGACCGAGAAGGACAUACCUCUGGUGUACCAGUUAUCGUGCCAACGGUAAACGCUGGGUAGCUAUGCAUGGAGUGGAUAACCGCUGAAAGCAUCUAA